CGUGAGCGGCGGACGGGUGAGUAACGCGUGGGUAACCUGCCUCAUACAGGGGGAUAACAGUUGGAAACGGCUGCUAAUACCGCAUAAGCGCACAGUACCGCAUGGUACGGUGUGAAAAACUCCGGUGGUAUGAGAUGGACCCGCGUCUGAUUAGGUAGUUGGUGGGGUAACGGCCUACCAAGCCGACGAUCAGUAGCCGACCUGAGAGGGUGACCGGCCACAUUGGGACUGAGACACGGCCCAA
rnacentral:rRNA from 1 species